AGAUUGAGCCCAAGGCUGGAGACCUAGCCAGGUUUCCUGCUUGUUCAUACUGGAAGGAUCCAAAUUUCUGCAUUUCACCCCUGAAAGCCACAGCAGGUGGGUUGUUUCUUCUUGCUGUGAUAAAUGCUCAAGAAAACAGCCUAAAGCAGGGGACUUCGCUGACUGUUUCGGAUGGCUGAGUUUGUAACAGCGCGUGUGCUGAAGUAAAGCUGUUCCCUUCCGGGCUGCCGUGGUUUGAGUGUAAAAUAUCCUGCCCAGGGUCACGUUUAGACACUUGGCCCACAGCUGGUGGUGCUGAAUUGGAAGGCUGUGAAAUCUUUGAGGAGAUGGAGCCUCAUUAGAGGAGCCUCUUUAAUACCAAGUGUUCCCCACCUAAGAUAUCACAGCAUCAGUCGACCAUUUCCCCAAGCUCCUGGAGAAGAAAGAUUGCUCCUGUGCAAAGUAGAACCCCUGCUUUAUCAAGGAUACGUAAGAAAAUGAAACCAGGUUCCUACAGUGACUGAGAGAUGUCACUUGACUGGUUACAUCUCUGUCACAAUGGGCUCAUUGGAAAGCUUUGAUUUUUUUUUUUCCUAUGGAAGUCAAGAGGGCUGUGAGUGUGGGGGCAGCAACAGUGAAGAGAGAAGGGCUUUCACAGGGAGGAGAUGCACUUCAGCAAGUGCUCACUGAGGCAGGUACUUGAGUGGAAAUCCAGAGACGACCUGCUGAGUGAAGUCAUGAAGCAGACAGUUUCAACACAAUGUGCUCACAAGUGAUCCUGAGCUGUGGGAGUGGACGGACCUGGGGAGAGCACUGUGAGGCUCCUAUAACCAUGGAGACUUCAAAGAGGAGUUCCUGGUGAUGCAUGGUUGAACUCUUGGUUAGUGUGUCCAAAGCUUUGGGUUUGUUUUUUAGCAUUGU
ensembl:lincRNA 4930425L21Rik RIKEN cDNA 4930425L21 gene